rnacentral:lncRNA from 1 species
CCAUGUUUAGUAAAAGCAUAUUCAAAAAACAAAGAAACAAAUAGGCGGACGCAAAAGUUCACAAAUAUUUACAGCAAGUCACUUCAUUACAUUAUGGCAUAUACAAAGUUAUCCUAAUUCAACCUCUCGCCACUUUGAUCACAACGGCUCCUCAUAAGUAUCACUUGUAUGGAUGCACAAAUUGUGUCUGCUUUCCCCACACACCACGCAUUUGCUAAUUUGUCCAGAUUUCGCACACAUCAUAACUCCGGGUUCUGCCAUAGAGACCACGGGUACCUCCACCAAAUGUAAUGGGGCUUUAUUGUGUG